rnacentral:rRNA from 1 species
AUGUGGACGCCGUCGCGCGGGAGCAACGCGCGGCGGACGGGCCACCGGCGCAUCGCGGAGUGCCUGGCGGACGACCAGACCACCAACACCGACACCUCCGACAACGAGUCCUUCACCACCGCCUAUGGGGACGAGUUCUUCGCCGCGGCCGCCGGGGGGAGCGGCGGCGGGGGCAUGCUCCCGGCAUUCCUCGCCGACCAGGAGGACCUGGUGGAGGUCAUGCUGGAGCUGGACGAGGAGUCCAUGGUGGUGCGCAGCGUCACGCCCACCAGGGCCGCGCUCUACAGCGCCGCCGCGAUGCCGCACACGCCGGAGGCGCCGGGAGGAGGCGGCGGCCCCCUCAGCCGCUGCUCGUCCACGUCCUCGCGGAUACGGAAGAAGUUCGCGUGGCUGCGGUCGCCGUCCCCCGCGCCGUCGCCCUCCCCGCGCGUGCCCACGCCCGCCGAGCUGCAGCGGGAGGCGGCCAUGGCGGCCCGCGAGCGGCGCCGCAUCCAGGCGCGGGUCAACCGGUCGCGCGCCGGCGCCAAGCGCGCGCUCAAGGGCCUCCGCUUCAUCAGCCGCACCACCGGCUCCCUGGAGGCCGCGGAGCUGUGGCGCCGCGUGGAGGAGCGCUUCAAUGCCCUCGCCCACGACGGCCUCCUCUCCCGCGACAACUUCGGCGAGUGCAUCGGAAUGGUGGACUCGAAGGAGUUCGCGGAGGGCAUCUUCGACGCGCUGGCGCGGCGGCGGCGGCAGAGCCUGGAGCGGAUCACCAAGGAGGAGCUCUACGACUUCUGGCUCCAGAUCUCCGACCAGAGCUUCGACGCGCGGCUCCAGAUCUUCUUCGACAUGGUGGACACCAACGUGGACGGGAGGAUCACGAGGGAGGAAGUACAGGAGCUGAUCGUGCUGAGCGCGUCGGCGAACAAGCUGGCGAAGCUCAAGGAGCAGGCGGAGGAGUACGCGGCGCUCAUCAUGGAGGAGCUCGACCCGGAGAACCUCGGCUACAUUGAGCUGUGGCAGCUGGAGACGCUGCUGCUCCAGCGCGACACGUACAUGAACUACAGCCGGCCGCUGAGCACGGCGAGCGGCGCGCAGUGGAGCCAGAACCUCGGCGUGGGCGCCGGCGGGGCCGUGCCGCCCGCCGCCAAGGGGGAGGAGGACGGCAGCGGCACGCAGACGUGGGGGGAAGGGAUGAGGGAGCGGCGGCGCGGGUGGGGCCGCGGCGUGGCCAGGGCGGCGUCGCACGUGCGGGUGGCGGCGGAGGAGAACUGGCGGCGCGCGUGGGUGCUGGCGCUGUGGGUCGCGGCCAUGGCGGCGCUGUUCGUGUGGAAGUUCGUGCAGUACCGGCGCACGGAUGCGUUCCAGGUGAUGGGCUACUGCCUGCCGACGGCCAAGGGCGCCGCCGAGACGCUCAAGCUCAACAUGGCGCUCGUCCUCCUCCCCGUCUGCCGCAACACGCUCACCUGGCUCCGCUCCUCCUGGGCCCGCUUCUUCGUCCCCUUCGACGACAACAUCACCUUCCACAAGAUGAUCGCGACGGCGAUCGUGGUGGGGAUCACGCUGCACGCGGGGAACCAUCUGGCGUGCGACUUCCCGCGGGUGAUCGCGUCGGGGCCGGAGGAGUACCGGCUGGUGGCGGGCGCGUUCGGGGCGUCCAAGCCGACGUACGGGCGGCUCAUCUCCGGGGUGGAGGGCGUGACGGGCAUCGCCAUGGUGGUGCUCAUGACCGUCUCCUUCACCCUGGCCACCCACCCGUUCCGCAAGGGCGAGAAGGAGGCCUCCGCGUCGCGGCUGCCGGCGCCCCUCCACCGCCUCGCCGGCUUCAACGCCUUCUGGUACUCCCACCACCUCCUCGGCUUCGUCUACCUCCUCCUCCUCGCCCACGGCUACUUCCUCUUCCUCGUCCGCCGCUGGUACGAGAAAACGACAUGGAUGUACAUUUCGGUCCCUCUGGUGCUCUAUGUCGGCGAGAGGAUGCUGCGAGCCUUGCGGUCCAAUGCUCAUACUGUCAAAAUCAUCAAGGUGAUGCUUCUACCUGGAAGUGUACUGACAAUACAAAUGUCAAAGCCCUACGGAUUUCGAUAUAGGAGUGGACAGUAUAUCUUUCUUCAGUGUCCGACGAUCUCUCCAUUUGAAUGGCAUCCUUUCUCCAUCACCUCAGCUCCUGGAGAUGACUACCUCGCUGUUCACAUUCGCACAAAUGGAGACUGGACGCAAGAGCUCAAGCGCAUAUUUGCCGAGAACCACUACUCGCUGCACAUGAACAGAAGAACUUCAUUCAGCGAGUUAGGCGCGGCAGAACCUAGAACCACUGUCCCACCAAAAUUGCUUGUAGAUGGUCCAUAUGGUGCCCCUGCACAGGAUUUCAGAAACUACGAUGUUCUGCUUCUAGUUGGCCUUGGAAUUGGAGCAACACCGUUCAUAAGCAUUCUAAAGGACCUACUUAACAAUAUUAAGCUUGCUGAUGAGCUGAUGGACUUGGCAAUGGAGACUACUCAAACUAGUAGGUCUGAGGACAGUGCCAACAGCUUCAGUGUCUCAACAGCUAGCAGCAACAGGAAGAGAUCAUAUAGAACAAGCCGCGCACAUUUUUACUGGGUUACUCGCGAGCCCAUGUCGUUUGAAUGGUUCAAAGGAGUGAUGAAUGAGGUUGCCGAAAUGGACAAGAAGGGUGUCAUAGAGUUGCACAAUUAUCUUACGAGCGUGUAUGAGGAGCGUGAUGCACGAACAACUCUGCUGUCGAUGGUCCAAGCUCUGAACCAUGCUAAACAUGGUCUCGACAUCGUCUCGGGCACCAGGGUGAGGACACACUUUGCCAGGCCAAACUGGAGGGAAGUCUUCACCAAAAUCGCCGCCAAGCAGCCGAAUUCAACAGUUGGAGUGUUCUACUGCGGCGCGCCGACGCUGGCCAAAGAACUGAAGAAACUGUCUCACGAGAUGAGCCACAAGACGUCGACGCGCUUCCAUUUCCACAAGGAGUACUUCUGA